rnacentral:tRNA from 1 species
GGUAAAGAGGGGAGUUCAACCCCUAUUAGUGAGUUUACAGCCCACCGCCUAGCAUUCGGCCACCUUA